UGGGGAAUCUUGGACAAUGGGCGCAAGCCUGAUCCAGCCAUGCCGCGUGGAUGAUGAAGGCCCUAGGGUUGUAAAAUCCUUUCGUUGGGGACGAUAAUGACGGUACCCAAAGAAGAAGCUCCGGCUAACUUCGUGCC
rnacentral:rRNA from 1 species